AUUGAACGCUGGCGGCAGGCUUAACACAUGCAAGUCGAACGAGUGGCGGACGGGUGAGUAAUGCUUGGGAAUCUGGCUUAUGGAGGGGGAUAACGACGGGAAACGGUCGCUAAUACCGCGUACCAUAGGAUGAGCCCACGUGGGAUUAGGUAGUUGGUGGGGUAAAGGCCGACCAAGCCGACGAUCACCAGCGGGUCUGAGAGGAUGAUCCGCCACACUGGGACUGAGACACGGCCCAGACUCCUACUGGAGGCAGCAGUGGGGAAUUUUGGGAAAUGGGCGCAAGCCUGAUCCAGCCAUGCCGCGUGGCUGAAGAAGGCCUUCGGGUUGUAAAGGACUUUUGUCAGGGAAGCGGUACCUGAAGAAUAAGCACCGGCUAACUACGUGCCAGCAGCCGCGGUAAUAC
rnacentral:rRNA from 1 species